rnacentral:rRNA from 1 species
GUGGAUUAGAUACCCUGGUAGUCCUGGCCGUAAACGAUGAACACUAGUAGGGAGAAACCUAGUUUUUCCCUCCGGAGCUAAAGUGUUAAGUGUUCCGCCUGGGGAGUAUGGUCGCAAGGCUGAAACUCAAAGAAAUUGACGGGGGCUCACACAAGCGGUGGAGCAUGUGGCUUAAUUCGAGGCAACGCGAAGAACCUUAUCCUAGACUUGACAUGGUCGGAUUAGUUCCGUGAAAGCGGAAUGACGCCUUCGGGUGGAACGAUCACAGGUGCUGCAUGGCCGUCGCCAGCU